CCUGGUGCCCCCUGCGCAGGCGCCUUAGGCCGAAGCGCCGGCCGCGCGGAGCUCGCGUGGGCGGGGCAUCCGGGUAGCGCCAGGCCAUGAAAGCCCACGUGUCUAUUAUUCUCCCAGUCCACAACGCUGAACCAUGGCUGGAUGAAUGUCUGAGGUCUGUUUUGCAGCAGGACUUUGAAGGCAUCAUGGAGCUCUCUGUUUUCAACGAUGCCAGUAAGGACAAGUCUGGGGCUAUCAUUGAAAAGUGGAAAGUGAAACUGGAAGAUUCUGGGAUCCAUGUGAUCAUUGGGGGGCACAAUUCUCCUUCUCCCCGAGGUGUUGGAUAUUCUAAGAAUCAAGCCGUUGCGCAGAGUUCAGGGUCUUACCUUUGCUUUUUGGAUUCGGAUGACGUGAUGAUGCCCCAGCGGGUGAGGCUACAACACGAGGCUGCCGUCCAGCACCCAUCGAGCAUCGUCGGUUGCCAAGUGAGGAGAGAUCCCCCUGACUCCACCGAACGAUACACACGUUGGAUCAACCAGCUGACAUCCGAGCAGCUCCUCACCCAGGUUUUCACUGCGAAUGGCCCAACGGUGAUCAUGCCCACCUGGUUCUGCUCUCGUGCGUGGUUUUCCCACGUGGGCCCCUUUGACGAGGGAGGUCGGGGCAUCCCUGAGGACCUGCUGUUCUUCUAUGAGCACCUCAGGAAGGGCGGCAGCGUCAUCCGCGUGGACCAGAGUCUCCUGCUCUACCGCUACCACCCGCAGGCGGCCACACACUCCGUCCUCGAGGCGACCAUCUGGACCCACCGUGUCCGCUUCCUGGAAGAGCGGGCCCUACCCCGCUGGGCAGCCUUCACCAUCUGGAACGCCGGCAAGCAGGGGCGCCGGCUAUACCGCAGCCUGACCGCCGCCAACCGGCGCAAGGUGGUGGCAUUCUGUGACGUGGACAAGAACAAGAUCAGGAAAGGCUUCUACUGCCACGAGGACUCCCAGGAAAGGCCCAAGCCCCACAUCCCCAUCCUGCAUUUCCGAGCCGCCCGGCCACCCUUCAUCAUCUGCGUGAAGCUGGACCUCACAGGGGGAGCCUUUGAGGACAACCUGAGGUCGCUGCACUUGCAGGAGGGCCAGGACUUCCUUCAUUUCAGCUGACAGACCCACGGCAGCUACUCCCAGGCAGGAACAGUGACACCCCACGUCACUAGAGUGCAGGCGCAGAAAAGGAAAAGCCAUCUCCUGGUGACAGCCUCCAAGGGCCAGCGCUACCCUUCCACAGCUGCAGAUUGAGGCACCACUGGGCCAGGCUCCCCGCACCAGGAUCCCCCAGGAAUGAGACAUCCCCACCAGGCAGGGUGAGUGCGGGCUCCAGGACUGGCUUCAGCAGGCACCAGGCUGCAGAAGAGACAAGAUGGGGUCAAGCCAGUCAGUUCCAUCACCCACCACUCCCAGCCAGGGGACCCUUGCCCCUCUGGACCCCACGCGGGGACUGAUGCUGACACUGGGUUCCUGCCAGAAACUGCGUCUGUGCCAUUCCCCGCACACCUGGGAGUCCCAGCUGUGUGGCUGGCAGGUGCUCUGGACUAACACGCUGCAGGAGGGCACCCCAUCUGGGAUGCAGUCUCUGAGGAGCGAGCAGAAGGGAGGUUUGCUGCACUGCUCCUAACUUGCAUUCACACGUUUGACAUCUGUUCUAAUACAAAUGUAAAAAGCACAUUUAAUUCCAAAGUCUGCUGCUGAGUUUGGCCUUUACACACAGAAACAGGGGAGGCUGUGUCCGAUGCUCAUCCCGUCCCCAAGGCCCCUGCAUAUCUGGACAUGAUUCUUCUCCUCCCUCUCAGACAUGGCCUCCUGCUGUAUCAAAGGAGGCUGAGAGGAAGGAGGAGCCAGCCCUGGAACUAGAGAGACAGAAGGCAACCCCAGGCCCCAGCACCCAUGAGAACUGCACUCAUUUCUGUUACUUUGUUAGAAGAGUGGCGGGCUGGCGAGGAGCACGGGGGCUCCUGAGGGUCUCUGCACCCAGCCCUGGCCCGAAGCACGGGAGGCAGGUGAGGGGGAACUCCUGGCACUUGGAGCACAAACAGACCCCAGUGCCAGUCAUAAGGGGCCUGGAUCAAGCUGAUGCCAGUCCCAUCGAGUCCCUGGCCCACCAAACACACCCCAAGCAAGUGGCCUGGGUGCCAUGAGGCCCAAGGCGUGGGCAGUGGCCAGAGAAGGCAGCUCCACCAGCCCCAUACUCCCAGGGGUCCUAACAUGAGAAGAGGGGAGGGGCCGCUGUCGGAAACUGAGCACAGCCGCUGGCCCCAGAACGUUCCGGAGCUCAGGGAAGCACAGUCACCUCAUGCUGUGGAGGUGAAGGGUUACCUUGGGCACCAGCUGGGGCCUGGGCACGCCCAGGAGGUCACACAGGCGGUUGCGUGGCUCUCUCACAACUGCGAGCUCUUCAUGCCUGUGAGGAGAGGAAGCCUGUGAGAACAGGGAGCUGAGGGGAGGAAGGGCCGCCUUGCCCAGCCCUGCUGGAGAAGGCCUUGCCCAGCUCGGGAUACCUGACUUUACACGCCUGGCUUGUGUGAGGCCAGUGCCCACCUUAGACCCUCAGGUGUGCAGAGCCGCGCAUCAGCUUAUGUAGGGGAAAGCAGGGAAAGGACACCCACCCCAGAAUCUGCAACCAAACCAGCCCUCAGGCACGAGGAGCAGUGGUCAGGUGAGCACAUUCUCCAGCCAGCCUUGGGCCUGACCCCUUUCACAAGGAAGGGCCGCCCUCCCAGCCCCGUGGAGAAGGCUCACCCAGCUCCAGAUACCUGGCUGCAGAGCGUUCACCUCUUCGCUGUCCCAAAGCCAAUUAUUUUAGAAUCUGAUCCAGCCUUGUUUUUUAAAAACCUGUUUCCUGCGCAGUAGUUAAGACAGCCGACCUCUCAAUGGGGGUUGAGAAGGCAGCCUAGCUGCUCCCAGCUCUUCUCCUGGGACCGUAUGUUUCUGUUGAGGAGCAGAGACACUCACUCCUCCCCAAACCAGAGAACCUCGCAGAAGCCCUGAAGCCAAGAGGUACCUUCUGUCCUCCGAGACCACAGCAGCUGCACAGUAAGUGAGCUCCACGGGAACCCAGCCCUGUCAGAAGGACCCUGAUCCAAGGAGACACCUAGGGAGCGUCACCUACAUCCUCGCUGGCUUAGACGGGGCACAGACCCCACAGACGUGCACCAACGCCUGGUGUCAGCAUGGAGGCUCUCAGUUGGUGCUCCACACAGAGUAGCAUCCACAGGCAGGACACCUGGGACUCCACCAGGCUGGCUGCACCAAGUGAACACCCACAUAGCCUCUGGGUGCUUCAGUCCUGACCUCCAACUCAUGGUGACGAGAAGUGUGCGAGUCAGCAUGUGUGUCAGCGUGUGUGCGUGUGACCAUGUUUGUGAGCAAGUGAGCGUGAACCAGCAUGUGAGAUGCGUGUGCAAGUGAGCAUGUUUAUGAGCCAGUGUGAGUGUGUGAGCAUUCCAGCCAGCGUGUGAGUCUGUGAGCCAGUGUGAGCAUGAGUGUGGGUGGGAGCUCGGCUGCCCAUGUGUGUAUGACACAAUCAUUGCAGUUCCCAGGACCACACUGGUUGGCCCAGAGCACCCCCUGAGCCUGCACUUUCCCUGCUCCACUUUCUCAUUCAGACCCUCCCACCCCCGACUCAACACAUGCAUCUUUCAAACCUGCCACUCUAAUCCACCCGCAGUAAAGAAACCAGCCCCUGCUGCAGAAACUGCGCCUGUCCAAGUAAACAUGGAGAGUGGCACUGUGGCCUCCUGAGGGCCUCGUGGCCCUGGGAAGGAGGUGGAUAUUAGAGCAGAGAGGCAUGGGGAGAGGUUCUCCUCCUUCUGCCCAUGCCUCUGAAUUUCCACCAGGUGCUCAUGCAGCCUAUUCCAACACAGCUGGAGAGGGGCCUCCCUGGGGGGUGUCCGGUGCACAGGCCACCAGACAGCCUUGGAGGGGGAAAGGGGACUUAUGCCCCUGGCGGGAUGGAUGCUCUGCUGCUUCUGACACUGGACAGUGUUGAGGGACAGGGCGGUUAAGAGGCUUCAGCUUCAGCACCACUGCUGCCUCAUAAAACUCAAGCGGAGGCUGUUGAGGCUUCGGAAUCCUCCUUCCUCUUCCUUUCAGAGGGUUUGAGAGAGACAGGUGGACAUGGAGGGGACAGGAAGGGGGCGGUGCCAGGCCCAGGUGGCCGUGCAGGAAGGGGCUUCACUCACCAUGCGGUGUUGCUGAGCACUGCCACCACCUCCUCCAACACGUCUGCAGACACGACAUCACUGUAGGUGAGCACCAUCUCAUACACCUGGCUGGCCGUGGUCUUCCGGAUCUGGGACAGUGAUGCAGUGUGUUUGCAGGAGGAAACACCAUUGCCCCACCCCACAGAGACGACAGGAGCCAGGCCAGGGAGCCCUGUCAGUGGAAGGUGUCAGGAAGAGGGCACUGACCCCGCAUCCCUUCCCAGCCACAGCAGAGCUGCAACCAAGAGGAGGCGCUUUCCAUGCCAUGAACCACCUCCUCCCUCCGCAGACACACAGUGAGACUCCAGCAGUGCAGGUCACGUCCUUCUUGUUUAAAUGAUCCAUUCACAAACCUGCUCCCUUACGGAGAAGCAAUCUCACCUGUCGUCAUGUCUCAGUGAGCUGGUGGUCAGAGCCCCUGGCCCACCCUUGGAGGUCCUGAGUCAGCAGGACAGGGCCCAGGAACCGGCACUGCUGAAGCCCCAGAGGUGCUGAGGGUCCAGCCACCCCACUUCUAGAACCACCAUAUAAUGUGAAAUUACUUUCGCGUUUUUGGAAAAUGUCACCUUUGGAUCAACAGGUUUUUUUACAGCCUGAAGAAAAGAAACCCUAGAAAUGUUAACAGCAAGGGAGAGCUGGGGGUGAAGGGUGCUGCCCCCAGGUGUGGCUGAACCACUUCAGCCUGGGUCCUCUGGGAGCUCCUGAGCCAGAUCCCAUUGCCCAUGGAAAUGCCAGCCAGACAUGUCGUCCUUUAAGCCAGAAGAGUGACGUCGGGAGCCCCUUGACAGCUGUGUGCCUGUGACACGUCACCCUGGGCAUGCUAACAAGGGGCCUGGCACAAAGGCACACUCACGGGGCAGUGCCUUCCAAGCCCUUUUAGUCACCAGGGGCCCGAGUCCACACGGCAAGCACAUGUGAACAGGGCAGGCACUCACCGAUGGGAAGCGGUGGCCGAGGAGCAGACACAGCUGCAGGAGGGCGCUCUUCCUCACGCUGCCAGGAAACUGCACCAUCCCGCAGAAUCUGCCCAGAGCCGCACACAGGCACCGCGUGAGCCCCGUCCCACACAGCCCAACCCCGGGAAACCCAGGACCCAAGGCCCAGGUGAAGGCCCAGGGGGAGCAGAUCUGUGAGUACAAUGCAGGCCUGGAGCCAGCCCCGAGCCACAGGUGUGUAUGUGAGUUCAUGUCACACAUGCGGGAAAGCCAACAGUGGGAAGUGAGGAUGCCUCAGAGAAGCUCCUGCAGGGCUCCCGCCCUGCCAUGAGAACCCCCACCUCAGGGGGGCCACAGAGCAGCCAAGGUGUCUGUGGCUGCCCAGGGCCCACCUGAGCACUGCAGAGCAAGGCGCUCAACAGCAGCCCCCGGGGCACAUGGGAGAACUGGGUAACCACUGACAAUGCCCGUUUCCAGGUCUCUGCUCCCCCCAGGGCAGAGCACGAAGCGGGGCGGAGUGGGGGGGGCCGGCUUGCCUGUUCCCUGGGGACUCCCUCCACCAGCACCUGGGAUGCCUUGCCUCCCGCUUCGUCCCACUGGACACUGGAACGCACAACCUAAGCUUGAGGGUGAACACUAACUGCUCCUCUCCCACCUGGAGCCACUGACUCCUGCCUCACCUGAGGCAGGCUGCCCCCUGCAGUUCACUCUAGGGCCAGCAGCACUUGAAACUCACACUGAGAUGCCUGAUAGCAGUUUAUGGACGUCUUUUGAAUUCUUGAUUUCUUUCUUACAAAGUGCAAGCAACUUCACAGCGAAGGGGUGGCUGGAAGAAGAACACUUUCUUUAGAGAUGAGCGUUCACAGGCAGCCCCUCGACGUACACUUUUUCUAUAAGGAAGGUCAAGUCCGUCCUCCCGGUAGCUCAGUCCCAGAAGCCUGCAGCCCCUCUGCCAGCAAGUCCACUGGUCCCAUCCCGGUGCUCCACAGGCCGGUGGGGUCCCCAGCUGCCGUGCCACCACCUAGCGGGCCUCUGCUUCACUGCGGUACAGCAGCCCCCAUGGGGCCCCACCUCCCUCCCAGGGCCCCAGGCUCCAUGCCGACACAGCCGCAGCCGGGAUGCCUGUGCUCCUCCACCGCUCUCUCCAGAGGCGGCCUGGCCUGAACUGCUGCAGAACUGGGAGAAUUUGCUGACUCACAGAAGACACACAGGCUGUACAGUGUUGUUCUGAGCCUUCACUGGCCACAGGGACAAGAGCUGAAGCUGGGUGCCAACAAAACCACGGCCCUGAGGAGCAGCUCUGAGAGGGCCACUCCAGGGAGAAGAGGGACGACACCCACCUGCCUCUCUUGGUGGGGAACACAGCCAAGCUCCAGGAGCCCGACAGGCUGGAAAACCCUCACUGCUGACCAUAAGUCAAAGAGACCCCAGGCUGCUGCUACCCUCCCUUGGGUGUCCAGUAAAGGCAGACUAAACUAAGGUCCUGCCUGCUAAGGUGCAGGCUUGGCCCACGCCUCAGCUUGCUCUGAGGUGGGACCCCUAAAACACAAUGUCGAGAGACUAUGCAACAGCAGACAGGCAGCUCAGACACGCCCAGCGAAACAGACAGGAAGAGGGAGUUGAAGGGAGUGAGCACCGAGCACGGGAGGAUGGGCCACAGGGAACAGCAAGGCGGAAAGCCAAGGCACACAUGGAAACACUGAGGCCAAAACCUGCACCUGAAAAGACGCAAACUCCAAACAAGAACUCCACAAGUCAGAAGUCCUUCAGAGACAGAGAAUCAGCAGCUGACAGACGGGCCAAGUGAACAGGAAACUACAUCGAAGACAAGAUAUCCGACAACAGCAGCACAAAACUCAAAAUGGAAGCGAGCGGAACCAGCGCCUUCCGAUAUCCGUGCCGUUGUCCGAUACGGACAAAUACUGAAGACGACUUCACGAAGUCAAGAAUGUGUGGUGUCACUUCUCACUUCUAGGGUAAGCAUUAUAGAAUGGAAAAAACGUAAAAUGUCCCAAACAAUAUGUGAAAAUAAUGGGAUGAAAAAAGGAUUCUAGUAUUCCAACAGAAAGCUCAGGGGGCAGGGAGGGCACUGGAAAACCUGUGAGUGGCGGACUGGGACCUGAGGGGGCCGUAGGUCAUCAGGGAUGCAGGCAGAAGCUAUAGCCUGCAUUUUCGCAAAACCAUACACUGUUCCAGAAAAGAUGCACAAAACCAUAAAUACAUAAAGAUACUGAAAGUAAAAAAGUAGAAUUCAAAGUCGAGUGAUUCAGACAGCACCCUAGAAAUGAGGUGGGUCACAGGGCAAGAUUCAGCCCCAAAAACACGCUUCAAAAUCUGCACAGCAAAAACUGGCAAAACUGUUGCAAUAAGUAAAAAGAGCUGUAUUCACAGCAGGACCUGGCAGGCGGUGUUUCUUUUUGAAACAGGAUCUGUUUCUGUUGCACAGGCUGGAGUAGAGUGUGGCUCAAUCUCGGCUCACUGCAACCUCUGCCUCCCAGGCUCAAGCCAUCCUCCCACCUCAACCUCCCAAGUAGCUGGGACUACAGGCACCACCAUACCCAGCCAAUGUUUUUGUAUUUUUUGUACAGCACCAUUGCACUCCAGCCUGGGCAACAAGACGGAAACUCCUCAAAAAAAAAAAAAAAACAUAAA